GGGUCUUUUUUCUCUGGGUGUGGUCGAAGCAUCAACAAAACAUCAUUUCACUGCCAAGGCUGUCAUUAGCCCAGAAAUCGCGUGUGCCCCUGCCACUGCCACUGCCACUGCCACUGGCAAGUGGCGCCACCAACAAAGGGGCCACCUGUGAUGGAGAAGCACGAGCACGGGCCAAAAUACUAUAAAAAAUUCAAUUACGGCAAAGUGCAGAACAACAGAACAUCGAUGGAUGCAGCAGCUGCUAGUCGUUUUACAUCAAUAAUAAACAUCACAAAUUAAUUAUUAUUUUAUUGAGAGCCCAUUGGGUCCCCGCUCUUGGCAUUACUUUGAACAAAGCAAAGACUUGAAAGGUCCGCGUCAGCGAUAAUCAGCGACCCGGACAGAGGUCGCAGGCACCAGAGAUUACCACCAGAGACGACAGCCAGAAGGAGAUAAGAGCUGAUAAUCCUCGAACACCGAACAUGUGUUUCUGAUGGGAUGACCAGAUCAAGUCCCCCCCCCCCCCCCCCCCCCCACAUGCUAGGGUAAUCAAAUUGGUGGGCAACGAGAGACGAGAGGAUGCGUAAUCCGGUCAUGGGCUCGAGAGUGAUAAUAAUAGAGCUUCUGUCCGGCUAAACGAGUAAUUGGAUUCAGCCGAACAGCAAACGGAGGGGAAGUGCAUUAGGAUUUACAGAUGACUCUGCUGGGGUACUGGGUACUGCACUCCCAUCUCCUAGAAGAUAAGAAUAACAAUCCCCCCCCCAUGCAUUAUGAAAGUGUGAGAAAAGUUUCUUUAUUUCUUUAUUGGAAACAGGGAAGGAAAAAAAAACAAGUUCAUUUGCCAUUUA